UUUGUACAUAUAAUGUUAGAUUUUUUUAAAAAGACUUUUAACUUUCUAAACAAUUUAUCUUGGAAACAUUCUGAUAGAGCUUUUUCAAUCAUGGAAAGUCUCAAAGUUGUUAGAUCAUGUUCUUCUUUCCUUUUUUUAAGAUCAUUCUCAAGACUGUCGAUGGCGGGGAUUAUUUCAUUGCAUUGAUGUUGUUUAAAGCAUUUGCUGGAUAUCUGACUUUUCUUUAAACUUUCCACUGCGUCUAUAAGAAUGUCCGUCUUUUUGGAAACUUCACAAAUGGAUAUUUUUAAAUACGACAGCUUCACUUUCAAGGCAAUGGUUUCGUUUUCACUAAAUUCGGUGACUUUGCUGACUAGUUUUUCCAUCUUAGCUACACCUUCACACGCUCUAUUUUGGAUCUGCAAUUCCUGUCUUAGCAGGAAAUUUGCUUCAUCUAAAUUAUCUUGUCCAUGGCAAAUGACAGUAAGGCAACCAGCAAAAACGAUGUAAUUAAACAACAUGUUUCUAAAGAGAAAAAAGAUACUAUAAAGCGUUGGUUUUUUGCUGCCAAUAAUAAUUAAUAGAACUGAUUAUCUGAACUUAUAGUGGUUAUCAAUACUUACGAAACCCUUGUGGGAAUUAAGAAGAACAAUAUUACGAAAAGGAACAUCAAUUUGUAUUUUUGUAUGCCAUAUAAAUAAGACAAACACAAUUGUAUUAAAAUAGAAUGGUGUAGCACCGACAGAGAUGUAUGGGACAAAGUUCUCAUAUGUCAAAUAUUCUGGACCACUUAAAGCUACAUCAUCAAACUUAGUAAUUAUAGUAGCAGCAGCGCCUUGAACAUUUUUCUGACUCGCGAACAGAACUCUGCGAACCAACGCCCUUUAACUUAUUCAUUCGAGUUAGCAAAGGUUUUACUUUAAUUCAAAUCGUGUAUAAGAUGUUUUUUUCCCGCUAACAUCGAAAUAACUUUAGCAAUAACACUAUAACAUUAUUUUUUUUUCUGACUAAAAAAUGCCAAAUUAAAAAAAAUCAUUUGUAAGCCUUUCUGAACUGUAGUGUUUAUAGGAAGAAACCAUAACUCUAGAAAAAUCAUUUUUAUUAACUUCUAACAAAUACAACCAAACAUACUAAAUUCAUUCAAAUCAAAUACUGCAAACUUUAUAUAAGUCAAAUGAAGAAACCGUUAACAGUCAAAUUAUCAAAAGUUAUCAAAAGUUAGUUUCAAAAAUGUUGGAGUAAUUUUAGAUAUGAGCUAGUCCCCCAUGAUAAAAGCUCUACCACUUUAAAAUUAAUUAAGGAACAUAGAACAUUCAGACUUGCAGAAACCUGAUUUAGUUUAAAAACAGAAUACCAUUUUAAGGGGUCUACAAAGCGGGCUGUUUUUUUUUUACUUUAGUAAUGCACGAAAGCUAAACUUAUGGUGGUGAAAGAUCACUGAGGACAAAAACAAGAUCUAAAAUCAUCUUAAGUGUCACAUUGGAUAUCCAAAUUUAACUAUAAAUGACAGAACAUUUCCCUACGUGUAUUUCAUAUCCAGAUUUUAUUUAAUCUUGGCACUUGCCAGGCUAUCAAAACAAACUUUCUGGUGAAACACACUUCAAACUUUCCGAACUGGCUAGCUAGCUGUAAAAUUUAUUUUACAUAUUCUACAGACCGUAACUAAUUUAUUACACACACUUAUUCAGAAUGUGGGAGUAUAGAGAUCUUACUUGACCCUUUCCGUAGUCACGUUCAUUCAGAAUGCGCGUGCGCAAAAUUCGCGAAAUAUUUUGUAAUUUUUUCAAGAUGGCAGACGUCCUCGCAUGCCUGAAAAACAUUGUUUUAUUUGUAUUAUAUUCAAAUAUUAUAUUAUUAGAAGAAAUCAACGUCCUGGUGGUUACAUUUUUUUGCUCUGAAAAAUUUGCCUUCAAAGUCGAGAUAUUUUGGUGACCUGUAGCUAGCUAUAAAUGGCAUUUGAAUGAUGUUAUGAGUAGUAUAAUGAAUUUUUCCAUGUGGCGUCAACAACCUGUUAAAGCGUUUAUGGAUUAUUCCUUGUAUGGUUUCAAUCGUUUGGAAUACUUUUUGUUGCAAACACAACUAUGCACAUUAUAUGGUUCUUAUUGGAAAAUUUAUUUAAAUAAUUAUGUUAAUGUACAGUUUUUAUUUUUCUGUUUGCUAAAUGAAAUACACAAAUCAUAUUGUAA